CCUACGGGUGGCAGCAGUGAGGAAUAUUGGUCAAUGGCCGCAGGGCUGAAUCAGCCAAGUCGCGUGAGGGAUGACGGUCCUAUGGAUUGUAAACCUCUUUGGUCAGGGAGCAAAGGGCGCCACGUGUGGCGUCUUGCGAGUACCUGAAGAAAACGCAUCGGCUAACUCCGUUCCAGCAGCCGCGGUAAUACGGGGGAUGCGAGCGUUAUCCGGAUUGAUUGGGUUUAACGGGUGCGCAGGCGGAAUGUAAAGUCAGCGGUAAAAUUUCGGGGCUCAACCCCGUCGUGCCGUUGAAACUGGCGUUCUUGAGUGAGCGAGAAGUAUGCGGAAUGCGUGGUGUAGCGGUGAAAUGCAUAGAUAUAACGCAGAACUCCGAUUGCGAAGGCAGCAUACCGGCGCUCAACUGACGCUCAUGCACGAAAGCGUGGGUAUCGAACAGGAUUAGAUACCCCUGUAGUC
rnacentral:rRNA from 1 species